UGUUAUUUUCUUCUCCAGCCGCCACCUCCAAACCUCCACCACCACCUCCAUCGGCGUCGGCUAGCCCUAGACCAGACUAGCUUGACCUGCCGCCCCCUCCUCGCCUGAACUCGUCAUCACCCGCCACCAGACCUGCCGGAAAACGAGCUCGGAAUCGCCGGUUUUGACAUAAAAUUCCCGGUCGUCGUUCUCCCUCCUCCGACCACCAAAUUUGACGAAUAAGGUGUGCAAUUUGGAGUUGAAGCAAGGGGUCCAAUUGUUCGUUAUCCGUGCCAAACAUCUAUUGUAUGCGUCAAAUGCUCAUGCGUCGAGGGUUGGUGUAAGUUUCCACCAAAUAAAAUAUUGAAGUUCAUUCCUCAAGACUUCUCUACACACCCGCAAGCACAGAAGGAAAUUCCAUAAUCAAUGCUACAUUAUACAUACAAUAUAUAUCAUAUACUUAAGAUGUGCUCCAAAAAUCCUAUGUUCUCCCAAUAUGUUCUUUAAAUGUUUGAAUGAAUAAUAAAUAACAUCAUCUUCUUACUUAUA